GAACCUUACCAGGCCUUGACAUGCCCUCUAUGGGCUCCAGAGACGGAGCUCUUCACUUCGGGUGGGAGGGACACAGGUGCUGCAUGGCUGCCGUCAGCUCGUGUCGUGAGAUGUUGGGUUAAGUCCCGCAACGAGCGCAACCCCUUUUAUCAGUUGCCAGCACGUAAUGGUGGGAACUCUGAUGAUACUGCCGGUGAUAAGCCGGAGGAAGGCGGGGAUGACGUCAAGUCCUCAUGGCCCUUACGGCCUGGGCCACACACGUACUACAAUGGUGAUGACAAUGGGCAGCAAGCCAGCGAUGGCAAGCAAAUCUCUAAAAGUCACCUCAGUUCAGAUUGUGCUCUGCAACUCGAGCACAUGAAGUUGGAAUCGCUAGUAAUCGUGGAUCAGCAUGCCACGGUGAAUACGUUCCCGGGCCUUGUCACACCGA
rnacentral:rRNA from 1 species